UGAACGCAGCAUUGAUGUGUGCAAAGAAAAAUGCUGUUAAGAACGCUGCGUUAUUGCGGAUGCAACUGGUUUAUUCCACAUUACUUUUCAUAGCCUGUGCUUUAGUGCUUAGAAAUUGUCAAUGACAUGUGAAGGAGAAUCAUCAAGAAGUCUUCUGAGCCAUAAAAAAUUAACAGUUAAGCAGUGAAGUGUUUCUCUGGGACCAAGCUGGGAGAGUGAAGGCUAGAACAUGCUGCCUCCAAGAUGUGUGAAGCCAGCCGUCACAUCUUUUCCAUACUGCUGCUAACAGGACGGCUGAAGGAAAGGAACGCCUGCUCCAUGUCUUUCCUCAGCUGGGACAUCCAGCGAUGGACCACGGGAGCAAGUUGCUGGGAAACGAGGUGUACACAGCCAAACAACUCACUUCUGCCAGACAGCUCUUGGAGUGAAUCAUCUAGUAUUGGUGUCUGUGUUUCAAACACCCCCACCCGCCCGACACAGCACUCUGACUGCAUAUGGUUCUGAGAGGGGCCUGCGUUAUUCGGUUAGUCGGGCUUGUGCCUCAGCUCUAGCCAGAGGCUGUAGCAGCACAAUGGAUGGUCUGUGCUAUGGCUGAAUGUUGUAAGGGGCUGAGUAGGUCCUUCUCUCUGCAUUUUCUCUAUUUCUAACAGUCAAUGGACUCUCCACAGGUCCCUAUAGGCCUUCAAAGUGGAACCCCUUGGCUAACACAAACUCACAAAGCAGAGCAUUCUGUUUUCCUCGCAUUCGACCUUGCCCAGUGUCACAGGGCAACUGCUCAACUCGACAGAGAGAGGAACUUUUGAAAUACUACCACAUCUGGGAUUGGAUGAAUGCUGCUCGCCCCUGGCCAAUCAUAUCAAGUCUAAAGACCCAAUUCACAGUGAAAGUGUUAAAGCGUUUUUAGUCGUCUGUCUAACAGUACAUAUAUAUGCCACCAUUUUAAUCUGUAUUUCACAACAAACCAACUCCAACAAAUGAGCAUCUUAUGUCUGUCACAAUGUGACAUGACAUCAAAAUGCAUAUAUUUCAUUUUCACUUGCGCACAAGUGAAGCAGAGAAAACAGAGAUCCAUUCAAAUCACACUCUUGCAUUUUAUCUGAUCUUGUUGUCUGAACUGAUCUGAAUCAUAAUAAGUAGAAUUUUACCAACAGGCAUGAAAACUUGAUGGUGAUUUCGUUGCAAUAAACAGUGCCUUCACAUUAUGCAGCUAAUGUAAAACUGCUUAAUUAGCAAGCCUCUGUUAGUCCUGCCUGAAGCACUUACAGAACAGAAUUUGAAAGCAGUGUGAAGUCUAGGUAACAGCGGUGUAACAAUACAUUGUGUCUGUGAUAUCACAAUGCAAAACUGGGGCUGUGACUGAAAUGCAUCCCUACUGUGCUUAAAUACUAUUGAAUUUAUUUAGUUUAUGAUUUCCUGAACUGCUUUAUUUACAUAUAACAGUAAAUAAAUCAAUAAAUGAUUUAUGACACUUUCUCAUUGUCAACCUGCACCAGUAUUCACUAGCCACAUAAACAAAUCCACAUCAUGUGCAAGGCUGAAGCUGGCUUCUUAUUCGAGUUAUAGGCAUGGACGCAACAUUUUGAAGACUGCAAAAAAGUAUAUAUAUAUAUAAAAAAGACGAGUCUACAGAUUUAGAUCAUGAUUUCAAAAACUGUUAUUACUCUAAGUUUUUGCAAUAUGAUGAGCAACAGGCAGGAAAUGCGUUAGGGUCUGAUUUUAGCUGUACAUAGUAACCUUUAAUGUUCGUAUGUCCAUUGCUUAUUAACAAGAGACUCACAAUGCUCUCUGGUAUGCAUUCAACUGAUGUAGUGAUCUUUGGCGUUCACUAGAAAUUGUAGUUAGAGAUUGUAGAGCCUUCUUAAUUACUCCAGAGUUUGGUUUUAGUUGACACUAAAAGAAAAAAAAAUCUGGCUGAUAUAAUAGUGACCUACAACAUACUAGUGAUCCAUUUUGGUCAUAACCUGUGCCAAACAUGCCAUCUAAUGCAGUAGCAUUGCUUGAACACUAAAGUUUACAAAUAAUCUGUACCAAUUAACAACUCACUUCAGCACUGCUCCUGCUCCCCACCUCCAGCGUCACUAGUAAGCUGUGCAAUUGUGUAUAAAAUAGCAAUCAGUUUUCUUCAUUCAAAUUUGGUCCAAAAUAUUGUUCGAAUAUCAAAUUGUCUGGGCUAAGAAUAUCAUUACACUACUACUAGGCUACAUCAAUAGCUGACGAAGAGUCCCCAUUCAGCAGCAUUGCAAGAACAUAUAAAAGCCAGCCAGUGCUCAGAUUCAGAUGUGCUCUAACAGCCAGCUUGCUUGUGUUUUCACAAACUCACACAUGAAUUCCAGUUAACUCCAUCGUUAAUACUGCCUUUUAAGCUAUCUGUGAGUAUGUAAGAUGGACAUUAAUCAUGGAAUGUAACCCACAAAUGACUGAUAUGGUCUACAUCAGAUGGACUUUCAACAAUCAGCCUGCAUUGUAAUUCUGUUUCUAUCAUCAGCAGGGCAGCAAGAGUGAACCCGGAAACUAUGCCUUUCCCCUCAUACUCAAACCACACCUUUAGCCCCAUGUGACUCAGCAGUUACCAUGGAUUGCAAAGAUUGCAGAAGUUUUGGCCUUGAGAAACCCUGAUUUAAAACUUCCUGCAACUUUAAUGCCAUUAAAAAAAAGUGAUUGGCUCUGUCCAGCAACAACUUCAGCUUAACUGAGGAGAUAUUUUUAGUGCAGAGAUUUAGUGUGUUUCAAAAAUGUUUAACAAACAGAUUAAAAAUCUGUUCGAUUAAAAGUUCUCUAGUGUGGCUGAACUGCAAGAUACUAGCAUUUUUGGGGACUUCAGGAUAGAUUAAAUUCCAGCGCACGGAGUUCAGACUCAGUAUCAUUUUGCCCCUCAUGUUUUUUCACUAGAAGAAAAUGAUAUGCUUGCGUGUGCCACCUUUCUCUAAAAACAGGAGGCUCUAGCUUGGCCAUCCACCAUAUCAAGGAGAAAAUGGCACCCUACUAAUUUCGCCUCUAAUGUUUGUCUAGUCUUCAUCUAAGGCAUGUUUCCAUUGCAUAAAACAACAAAACACAGCAUCAGCAACUCAUCUUUACAGAAAUUUUAUUGUAAUUUUAAACCAACCAACCAACCAAAAAAAAAAACAAAAAAAAAAACAAA